GGAUGCGAUCAUACCAGCACUAAAGCACCGGAUCCCAUUAGAACUUCGAAGUUAAGCGUGCUUGGGCGAGAGUAGUACUGGGAUGGGUGACCUCCUGGGAAGUCCUCGUGCUGCAUUCC
rnacentral:rRNA from 1 species